AAACCAUGAUGAGUACACUUGCGAAGCAACUCAUUAAAAUGCACCCAUGCUUCAUGAAAAGAAUCUCCAUCUUUUUGCUAGAAGGCAUUUAUCUCCUUUUCUCAAUUG